CCAGCAGAUGGACUUUUUCUUGCCCCACUUGCAUAGCACUGUUCUUAAGUUUUGAAAAUUACUUUUUCUUGCCCCACUUGCAUGAAAACAUGUUCAUGAAAAUUACUUGAGAGCUUCUGGUCAUCAUGGUUGUUGAGGGAACCGGCUCACUGUAAUAAUGAAAGUCCUUUGCUGGUGGAUAUACACUUAUAUGCUUGUAUGUUUGUUCUAUUUUAACUUUCUCAUCUUCACCUCAGGUGUGCUGAUAAUAUGCUUCUUUGACACACGCUGCAGCGUGAUUUCUAACUCGCUAGCAAUGGUAAACAUUUACUGAUUGUGGCAUGCCAUGUAUCUGUGUUUUGUAGGUCCUAGCUCAAGUCAAGCCACACAAAAGCAGACAAGAGGUUCACCUUUCAAAGAAAGAGAAGAAGAAUAAGAAGAAAAAGAACUAACAAGGAAGAGGCUACCAAAAGCAAGUCUGCAGGAAAGGCAUAGUACCAGACUAUGAUCUCCGACAGCGAUUACACCGAGUUUGAAAACUUCUCAAAGUGGUUGGGAGUCUCCCAGUGAGAUUUUUCUGUCUUUGAGUUUUGUCUUGGUAUAAUAUCUUUAUCUAAUUGUUUUGUUUCAAGAAGAGUUACUUUACUUUUUGUGGCAGUUUUGAGACAAGAUUUGAGUUUGGUGGGUUAUGUUUUAUGACAAGAUGGAUGGAUUUUCAUUUUAGCAGAUCUGGAAUCAAAAUUUUACAAAUUGUAGUCUCUUA